rnacentral:rRNA from 1 species
AUUAUUGAACGCUGGCGGGAUGCUUUACACAUGCAAGUCGAACGGCAGCACGGACUUCGGUCUGGUGGCGAGUGGCGAACGGUGAGUAAUGUAUCGGAACGUCGGGUAGCGGGGAUAACUACGCGAGUGAAGCACACCGCAUACGCCCUUCGGGGGAAAGCGGGGACCUUUCUGGCCUCGCACCAUUAGAGCGGCCGAUAUCGGAUUAGCUAGUUGCGGGGUAACGGCUCACCAAGUGGCGACGAUCCGUAGCUGGUUUGAGAGGACGACCAGCCACACUGGGACUGAGACACGGCCCAGACUCCUACGGAGCAGCAGGGGGAAUUCUGGACAAUGGGGGGAAACCCUGAUCCAGCCAUCUCGCGUGUGCGAUGAAGGUUCUCGUUGUAAAGCACUUUGGCAGGAAAGAAACGGCACGGAUAAUACCCCGUGCAACUGACGGUACCCGGUAGAAUAAGCACCGGCUAACUACGUGCCAGCAGCCGCGGUAAUACGUAGGCAAGCGUUAAUCGGAAUUACUGGGCGAAGCGUGCGGCAGGCGGUUCGAAAGAAAGAUGUGAAAUCCCAGAGCUUAACUUUAAACUGCAUUUUUAACUACCGAGCUAGAGUGUGUCAGAGGGAGGUGGAAUUCCGCGUAGCAGUGAAAUGCGUAGAUAUGCGGAGGAACACCGAUGGCGAAGGUGUUCGGGAUAACACUGGACAAGCCAUGCACGAAAGCGGGGAGCAAACAGGAUUAGAUACCCUGGUAGUCCACGCCCUAAACGAUGUCAACUAGCUGUUGGGGCCUUCGGGCCUUGGUAGCGCAGCUAACGCGUGAAGUGCUGACCGCCUGGGAGUACGGUCGCAAGAUUAAACUCAAAGGAAUUGACGGGGACCCGCACAAGCGGUGGAUGAUGCUGAUUAAUUCGGAUGCAACGCGAAAACCUUACCUACCCUUGACAUGUCUGGAAUCCCGUAAAGAGAUUUGGGAGUGCUCGCAAGAGAACCGGAACACAGGUGCUGCAUGGCUGUCGUCAGCUCGUGUCGUGAGAUGCUGGGUUAAGUCCCGCAACGAGCGCAACCCUUGUCAUUAGUUGCCACGAAAGGGCACUCUUAAUGAGACUGCCGGUGACAAACCGAGGAAGGUGGGGAUGACGUCAAGUCCUCAUGGCCCUUAUGGGUAGGGCUUCACACGUCAUACAAUGGUCGGGACAGAGGGUCGCCAACCCGCGAGGGGGAGCCAAUCCCAGAAACCCGAUCGUAGUCCGAUCGCAGUUCGCAACUCGACUGCGUGAAGUCGGAAUCGCUAGUAAUCGCGGAUCAGCAUGUCGCGGUGAAUACGUUCCCGGUCUUGUACACACCGCCCGUCACACCAUGGGAGUGGGUUUUACCAGAAGUAGUUAGCCUAACCGUAAGGAGGGCGAUUACCACGGUAGAUUCAUGACUGGGGUGAAGUCGUAACAAGGUAG